UGAGAUGUUGGAUUAAGUCCCGUAACGAGCGCAACCUCAUCCUUAGCUACCAUCAUGCCUGCUGGGGACUUUAUCGAAACUGCCAGUGAUAAACUGGAGGAAGGUGGGGAUGAUGUCAAGUCAUCAUGGCCCUGAUGGAGUGGGCUACACACGGGCUACGAUGGUGGCUACAAUGGGCUGCAAAUUCACGAGGCUAAGCUAAUCCCUUAAAAGCCAUCUCAGUUCGGAUUGUACUCUGCAGCUCGAGUGCAUGAAGAUGGAAUCCUUAGUAAUUGUGGAUCAGCACGCCACGGUGAAUAUGUUCUCCGGUCUUGUACACACUGCCCGUCCCUCCAUGGGAAUUGGUU
rnacentral:rRNA from 1 species